UCGAUUGUCUUAAAGUUCUGUCACUGUCGCGCGCUCUCCAGCGCAUUGGAUAGAGAUACAGCGAUUGGUUACGCGCAUAGCGGUUUCAGCGAUCACUUUGGAAGCAAGUCUCAAGUCUUCGAAAAUUAUUUACCGGUUUAUAGAGUACAGAAGGAGAUACAUCUGCUGUUAGAGUAUCUUCGUUGUCCUCGGAAGGCAGCACAGCAGACUUUUGUUUAGUUAAGUCCAAUGCCACUCCAUCAGUAAGGAUGAAGACGGCGGAGAUCUGUGUGGUCCUGUUUGUCUUGGGCUGUGUGUGAACUGUCAUUGUCUUUGGACCCCCGAGAUCCAAAUGUCUGCAGUUUAUGGGAAAGUUUCACCACUUCAGUGAAGGAAUCAUACGCUCAGCCUUUCGACCAAAUGUCUGAAGAGCCCUGCUCUGAACCUUGGAGCGCUAACAAAUGCACCCGGCACAGGAUCACUUAUAAAACGCUUUAUAGGCAGGUGGUGAAAAUGGACUAUCGUAGGAGGUAUCAGUGCUGUCCUGGCUUUUACGAGAGCAGGAAUAAAUGUGUCCCACGUUGCACUAAGGAGUGUGUCCAUGGCCGCUGUGUAGCACCUGAUCGCUGCCAGUGUGAGAUCGGCUGGCGUGGAGAUGACUGUU